rnacentral:lncRNA from 12 species
CGGGUCUGCUGGUAGACAAAACCAGCACCGAGAGAUAAAAGAAACAAUGGGAGGGAUUCCACUGAUUGAGGAAUGGAAACAGAGAUUUGCCUUUACAAACAAACCGUAGGUUCGCUGAUAAAUGAAAUUGGAUAUCGGAAGAUGAAAGAAGCAACGGGGAAUAGCUAUGAAUUCUGUAAGAAUUAAAAUUAAAAGGGAGGGUUAUACAUUAGAGGGGAAUCUCAGGUCCGGGAAGUCUGUGCCUCUCGAGUACCUCAGCCAAUGGGGAAAGAGAGAGGGAAAAGCGGCCGGGAAAUUGGGAUAAAAAGGGAGGCUGCGUCCUCCAAAAAUGUGAGCGAUCCCAGGGGAACGCCCCAUGGUCUCUGCCUUUAUUGGAAUAACGCAGAAAGGACCCCUCUGUCUCCUUUUUGGACAUUAACCCCUGGCGUUCGCGGGUUAAUUUUCCUGACGUGCCCCGUUUGCCGUCAGAGCGCGGGGCUGACUCCCAGUGCUCCCAGUCCCGUCCCAGUGCAUCCCAGGGGAUGCCCCCGGGAGCAGGGACCAUUCGCCUGCCGGCCCCGGGAGCCGCCCCCGGCCGGAGCCUUUUCACUUUCGUUUUUGGAGGCGUUUACGGGAAAUCAGGGGGAAGCGAGGCGGGGGCAGGAGCGAUUUAAGCGGGACCGCCCGGCGCGGAGCCGCUCGUCCCCGCCGUGCCCAGAAUGAACAUUGAGGAAAACACACAGAAGACAAGAAAGAGUGACAUGGCUCUAAAUAUUGUGAAUGCAGUAACUGCAGUAGCUGCCUGUACGACUGAGAUAUUGCGGGCAAUCGACAAGAUACAGAGCGAGUGCAAGAGGAAAGAGAGGGAGAAGACCAGAAACAACCAAGAAUCCACGACCAAAAAGGACCUGGAAUCCAAGAUAAGCAGGGAAUUCCAGGACCUCGAGAAUAAAAUGGAAGCUCUGAGUAAAGAUUUCCAAAAAUGGGAGGGGUCCACACUGUAUGAUGUUGAGCUCCUCACAAAAGAGGUGGAGAAGAACCAAGGAAAGAGAGAGAAGGAAAAGGCACGGGCCCUGGAAUCCAAGUUGAGGAAGAAUAUCCGGCAGCUCUCCCGAAGAGUUGGAACUCUGGAAGAAGAUGUAUGGGAUUGGCCAAUAACAAUGAAGUUUGAGCUUCAGGUUCGCAGGGCAGAGCUGGAGAAGAUCGAAGGAAUGGAUGUGGAUGAUAUAGCAUUAGCCCUGGGAAACAUGUUGCGGAAGAACAAACGGCAGCUUUCUCAAAAAAUUUGGACUCUUGAAGAUGAUAUAAAGGAAUGUAUGGAUACCACGAAGUAUGAGAUUCAGGUUUUCAGAGAAGAGCUGGAGGAGAGGAACCGAGGAACAAAUGAGGAGUGAAGUUCAUGGGCUUUGGAAUUCAGCAUGGAGACGGUCGUCCAGCAGCUUUUUUUUCCUCAAAUUCAAAUAUGAUUCAAGAAUUACAGGAGAGACAGUAAUGCCUGGAGGGGCUGAUCUGGAGCUGAGGCUAGAGCUAAAGGAAUAAAGUGGGUGUUUAUGGAAAGACCUUUGAAGGAUUCACCUUGGGCAGUACACGAGCCCGGCCCUGGUUCCACCCAGGCCGAAUGCAAGAUGGAGGCCGGCCAUGAGUCUUCACGAUUUUAUAAGUGUUGAUCCUUUUACAUAUCGUGGUUAGUUUUCCAAUUACGUCUUCAUUUUAUAAAGUCCUAUCCUCUCAGCUUGCUCUCUUUAAUUCACCGUUGUUUAUGCUUUUUUUGCUUUUUUAUUAAGGCUGUAAUGGCUGUCCUUGGUUCUCAGGCUGGAAAGGGAUUGUUUUGUCUAACUGAAGAGAACUUACUAACACUUUAUAUGAAGUUCAGAAUCACACACUAAGGCAGUACAGAAUCUAAAAAAAUAUGAAAGCUAAAACUUUUAGCAUCAUAGGUGCUGUCCUGAAAGGAAAAUGCCUUUAAAAAGAAAUUAAUUUCCUCUCCACCCCUCCCCUGUGCUCCUCUUAUUGCUGCUCACGGUGUGACAUGGAGUGGAGCAUCCCUUGGGUCAGUCCAGCCCAGCUGUGCCAUCCCUGCUCCCUCAGGGAGCACUCACCCACCCCAAGCCCGUGGGUCGGAGGGGGUCGCAGACACGCUCCUUGGGUUGAGCUCUGUGGCAAGGAGAGAACACAACAUUUCCUCCCAUCAAGGACAGUGGAACAGAACAGCACAGCCCUGGAGAAGUGGAUAAAGGAUGUAGCUGAGGCAAAACGCCAGCAGGAUGCCAGCUCAGCUCUGCAAGGCUGACAAAGCAAAAAUCGUGCAGAACAAUAACUCAAAAGUGGGGGUCGAGGAGCAGCCACCUAAAAAGGACACUGGAUGUUGAAGACAAACCCCAAAGAACCAUAUAAGGACUUGUGAUGAGGGUUACAACUCUGUCAAAUAAGUUCAAAGGAAGUGGGGAUAACUGAUGAAUACAUAAUCAGUGUGUGUGAUAAAAACUCUGUUUGCCUGAUGCCCAGUGCCCACGGCUGGAUGAAGGAUGGAGUGACCACCAUGCUGUAAUAAAGAAUACCUGCUUUCAAAUACUCAAAACUGUCUUCAGAAGUUUCUAUCCAGUGGAUUUUUCAGUAUCAGUGGUGUCCCUGACUCCAUCACGCUCCUCGCACAAUUUCACAAAGGCCCCUUGGUUCCGUGAGGCCUUGGAGUCACCACGGUCUCUUGGAUCUGCACUAUCGCAACGGACAAUUGGUUACAAGAAGCCCCGCUGUGUCCCAAUGAAUAUUUGGUUCCACGGGGCCCCACAGAAUCGCAACGGCCCCUCAGUUCCACGAGGUUUUGUAUUGGUCUCCUUGGUUCCGCAGUGCGAAAAGGGCGGCCUGGUUCCGCAAGGCCCCUGGGUUCCACGAGACUCUGCAGUGUCACGAUGCCCCAGAGUUUCCACCGGCUUCUGUCCCAUCAGCCGUGUCUUUUGUUCCAGUGAGGCUCCUCAGGGUCACAAUGGCCCCUUGGUGCCAUGAGCUUCCAUAGCCUGACACGGCUCCUUGGUUCCAGGAGGUUCUGCUGUGCCACAAUGGCCCCUUGGUUCCACGAGGUUCCAAAAUGCCGCCGUGCCCUCCCGGGAUCUGCACUGUCACAGUGGUCUCCUUGGUUCCAUGGGACCCUGCUGUGUCACAAUAAACCAACCCUUGGUGCCACGAGGUUCUGCGGUGUCACAAGGGUCUCCCUGGACUGGUGAGACCCUGCAGUGUCACAAGGGUCUCCCUGGACUGGUGAGACCCUGCAGUGUCACAAGGGUCUCCCUGGACUGGUGAGACCCUGCAGUGUCACAAGGGUCUCCCUGGACUGGUGAGACCCUGCAGUGUCACAAGGGUCUCCCUGGACUGGUGAGACCCUGCAGUGUCACAAGGGUCUCCCUGGACUGGUGAGACCCUGCAGUGUCACAAGGGUCUCCCUGGACUGGUGAGACCCUGCAGUGUCACAAGGGUCUCCCUGGACUGGUGAGACCCUGCAGUGUCACAAGGGUCUCCCUGGACUGGUGAGACCCUGCAGUGUCACAAGGGUCUCCCUGGACUGGUGAGACCCUGCAGUGUCACAAGGGUCUCCCUGGACUGGUGAGACCCUGCAGUGUCACAAGGGUCUCCCUGGACUGGUGAGACCCUGCAGUGUCACAAGGGUCUCCCUGGACUGGUGAGACCCUGCAGUGUCACAAGGGUCUCCCUGGACUGGUGAGACCCUGCAGUGUCACAAGGGUCUCCCUGGACUGGUGAGACCCUGCAGUGUCACAAGGGUCUCCCUGGACUGGUGAGACCCUGCAGUGUCACAAGGGUCUCCCUGGACUGGUGAGACCCUGCAGUGUCACAAGGGUCUCCCUGGACUGGUGAGACCCUGCAGUGUCACAAGGGUCUCCCUGGACUGGUGAGACCCUGCAGUGUCACAAGGGUCUCCCUGGACUGGUGAGACCCUGCAGUGUCACAAGGGUCUCCCUGGACUGGUGAGACCCUGCAGUGUCACAAGGGUCUCCCUGGACUGGUGAGACCCUGCAGUGUCACAAGGGUCUCCCUGGACUGGUGAGACCCUGCAGUGUCACAAGGGUCUCCCUGGACUGGUGAGACCCUGCAGUGUCACAAGGGUCUCCCUGGACUGGUGAGACCCUGCAGUGUCACAAGGGUCUCCCUGGACUGGUGAGACCCUGCAGUGUCACAAGGGUCUCCCUGGACUGGUGAGACCCUGCAGUGUCACAAGGGUCUCCCUGGACUGGUGAGACCCUGCAGUGUCACAAGGGUCUCCCUGGACUGGUGAGACCCUGCAGUGUCACAAGGGUCUCCCUGGACUGGUGAGACCCUGCAGUGUCACAAGGGUCUCCCUGGACUGGUGAGACCCUGCAGUGUCACAAGGGUCUCCCUGGACUGGUGAGACCCUGCAGUGUCACAAGGGUCUCCCUGGACUGGUGAGACCCUGCAGUGUCACAAGGGUCUCCCUGGACUGGUGAGACCCUGCAGUGUCACAAGGGUCUCCCUGGACUGGUGAGACCCUGCAGUGUCACAAGGGUCUCCCUGGACUGGUGAGACCCUGCAGUGUCACAAGGGUCUCCCUGGACUGGUGAGACCCUGCAGUGUCACAAGGGUCUCCCUGGACUGGUGAGACCCUGCAGUGUCACAAGGGUCUCCCUGGACUGGUGAGACCCUGCAGUGUCACAAGGGUCUCCCUGGACUGGUGAGACCCUGCAGUGUCACAAGGGUCUCCCUGGACUGGUGAGACCCUGCAGUGUCACAAGGGUCUCCCUGGACUGGUGAGACCCUGCAGUGUCACAAGGGUCUCCCUGGACUGGUGAGACCCUGCAGUGUCACAAGGGUCUCCCUGGACUGGUGGGACCCUGCAGUGUCACAAGGGUCUCCUUGGCUCCAUGAGGAUACAAAAGCUUUGCACAGACACUGAGCAGCACCUGCCCAACACACCUGGGAACAUCUGUCUGCACUCAAACGAGGGGUUAAAGGUGAGGAUGGCACCGGCAGCUUCCACCUGCGCCUGGCGUUUGUGGGUUAAUUUUCCUGACAGCAGCUGUGCAGGAGCCCCAGGCUGUGAGCAGGAGCUGCAGUGCUG